UGUACGUCACUGUGCGUGCGAGACAAAGGCUUGAUCACAUCCAGAAGUUUGAUCGCUUCACUUUUUGCUGUUGUUGUCAGAAUCAGUAAUGAUGAUGAUGAAUUGGAUUACCGUUGUUUUGCUAUUGCUGUCACCGCGAUCUUCUGCUAUUGAUUCAUCAGGUCCUUUAAUACUCUCUAGCAAGGAUAAGUCACUCCAUUUCAGCAAGAUAAGGUCACCGAGCCCGAGAAAGGAGGAACCAGCAUAUCUUAGUGUGGAGACAGAUCCAAAGGACAAAGAGAUACCAUCGGCACAUCGUAUCUUAUCUCCAUUGGUCAUGCUUACAGAUGACGGCGUAAGCAUUACUGAAGAAAAAUCAGGAUACAUUUUUGGUGACAUGGAUUUAGCGCAAGACGACCAUACUUCAACGUUCCAAACGAUUCCGGAAAUGAUUUGUUCUCUAUGUUCCCAACUGCAUAGACCGAGUAGGAGAUUGGUGUGUUCAAAUUUGUUCUGUUUCGACUGGGAGAGGAAGUGAUCGAAUCAGGCGUGCACAAAAUGGAAUACCAAAUCAAUGAAGAGGAUAUUAUAAAAAUUGUGAUUAUUUACGAAACUUUCACCGUCUUACGUAACUUUCAUUGUUUACGAAACUUUCACUGUUUACGACAUUUUCACUUUUUUUUUUUUUUUUACAAAACCUUCACUGUUUACGAGACUUUCCCUGUUACGAGACUUUCCCUGCUUAUGAAACUUUCACUGCUAGCGAAAGUUUCAGCUUUUACGAUUAUAGGCAAUGACAAUACAUUUACAGUUUUUUAAUCUUUAUUUGUCCGUCAUCAAACAAUGGAAACUGGUAUUGAAUUGAUAUUAUUAAUUUUUCUAUGUAAUUUAUAUAUUUUCAAUUACUUGCAUUAUCAAAAUGAGAGAAAAUGAUUCUAGACUUACUGUCAUCACGGUGUGCAUUAGACUGUUUAAUCAGAUACAUGCUAGUUCUGAUUCCCUGUAAUUAAUUGAAAUAAUGCAUACAGUACUGACUGAAAUAUGAAGAUACAAUGACAUUAAUAUUAAUAUAUUCAUGAAUUCUUAUUAUUUAGGUCUUCAUAACUGACUGCUGAGAAUGGUUCUGUUGCUCGACAUUGAAUAAUAAAAGCAUAUUAUUUUGAAGAGCAAUUAUAUUUUGUUUUACUACUUAAACGAGUAAUAUAUUAACUAAUAAAUCAACUACAGGUAUUAACAUAAAUUUGAGGUCAUCUAAAUAUCAAAUCCAGCUAUAUCAGUUAUAUAAACCUAUAAAUCUCUACUAUGAGACAAUUUACCAGAGGUAAUUUGAUCAGUUUUUAGUGUGUAUCAUGGCUAACCAUGGGGCUUGCUGUUGAAUUUCAACAAAUGCAAAAAAAAAAAAAAAAAAAAAAAAAUAAUAAUGCAUGUUUCAGGGGAACAUACAUGUGUAAUUAGCUGAUAGGUAUCAAAUUUAUUGCACAAAAUUGCCAUUUCGUUUUGCUCACAGGUGUCUAUGGCACACAUAGGAUCGAUUUGACCUGAUUUGACUUAAUAAUAUGUAUAAACACCGAUUCUGUUUUGACAUUGAAAGGCAAAUAAUAUUACGCAUAUGGCAUAGGAUGAGGCAUUUCAGAAAUCAAAAAUGCUCUAAUUAGACAUUAUUAAGAACUCUGAACAUUGCACGAACACUGUUUAAGAAAAACAAUUUAGCCGCUGAGUUUCUUUAAAAUGUCAAAAACUCUACGGUUUAACAUUUUGUCUUAAAAAUGUCCUUCUUACUAUGAUAAGAUGUCUUAAAUAAUAUAAUAUGAUGUAUGUUAUGGGAGUAUUUUAACAAUUUAAAUGCCUUCCUUAAUGCCAUAUUUGGAUAAAAUUAUUCACAGCCAUCAUUUGCAUUUCAAAACAAAAUAAGUGUGUAUAAGUACACAAAGUCAAAUGAAGUCUAUCAAGAGCUCAUAUCGUGUGAUAUAUGUCCAAACAAACAUUUUGAUGUAUUAUAUGUCUUGUUUUGGGCAAAUAUGUUAAUUCCUGUUUAAAAUUCAACAUUAUUCCCCUAUAUAGUUGACCCCAAAAUGCGACCCUCUCUCUAUUUUAACAUCUGUUUUGGCUCUUGUUUUAAUUUCCCCGACCUCUCUUCCAGAUUUCCACAAUUCUAUCUGUAGAACUAAUGACGAGUAAAAGAAGAACGAUUUUUUUU